rnacentral:rRNA from 1 species
GAUGAACGCUGGCGGCGUGCCUAAUACAUGCAAGUCGAGCGAACAGACGAGGAGCUUGCUCCUCUGACGUUAGCGGCGGACGGGUGAGUAACACGUGGAUAACCUACCUAUAAGACUGGGAUAACUUCGGGAAACCGGAGCUAAUACCGGAUAAUAUAUUGAACCGCAUGGUUCAAUAGUGAAAGACGGUUUUGCUGUCACUUAUAGAUGGAUCCGCGCCGCAUUAGCUAGUUGGUAAGGUAACGGCUUACCAAGGCAACGAUGCGUAGCCGACCUGAGAGGGUGAUCGGCCACACUGGAACGAAGACACGGUCCAGACUCCUACGGGAGGCAGCAGUAGGGAAUCUUCCGCAAUGGGCGAAAGCCUGACGGAGCAACGCCGCGUGAGUGAUGAAGGUCUUCGGAUCGUAAAACUCUGUUAUUAGGGAAGAACAAAUGUGUAAGUAACUAUGCACGUCUUGACGGUACCUAAUCAGAAAGCCACGGCUAACUACGUG